UUGGAGGGCAAGUCUGGUGCCAGCAGCCGCGGUAAUUCCAACUCCAAUAGCGUAUAUUAAAGUUGUUGCAGUUAAAAAGCUCGUAGUUGAAUUUCGGGAUCAAUUUAUUGGUCGUGCUAUUGUACGUACUGGUAUUAUUGAUUCCUACCUUCUGACGAACCAUGAUGUCAUUAAUUUGGUGUCUUGGGGAAUCAGGACUGUUACUUUGAAAAAAUUAGAGUGUUUAAAGCAGGCUCACGCUUGAAUACAUUAGCAUGGAAUAACGAAAUAGGACGUUUGAUUCUAUUUUGUUGGUUUCUAGGAUCGACGUAAUGAUUAAUAGGGAUAGUCGGGGGCAUUAGUAUUCAAUUGUCAGAGGUGAAAUUCUUGGAUUUAUUGAAGACUAACUACUGCGAAAGCAUUUGCCAAGGAUGUUUUCAUUAAUCAAGAACGAAAGUUAGGGGAUCGAAGACGAUCAUAUACCGUCGUAGUCUUAACCAUAAACUAUGCCGACUAGGGAUCGGAUGAUGUUGAUUUUUUAAUGACUCAUUCGGCGCCUUACGGGAAAC
rnacentral:rRNA from 1 species